rnacentral:rRNA from 1 species
AGUCAUAUGCUUGUCUCAAAGACUAAGCCAUGCAUGUCUAAGUAUAAGCGAUUAUACAGCGAAACUGCGAAUGGCUCAUUAUAUAAGUUAUCGUUUAUUUGAUAGCACCUUACUACUUGGAUAACCGUGGUAAUUCUAGAGCUAAUACAUGCUGAAAAUCCCGACUCCGGAAGGGAUGUAUUUAUUAGAUUCAAAACCAAUGCCCUCUGGGCUCACUGGUGAUUCAUGAUAACUGCUCGAAUCGCACGGCCUUGCGCCGGCGAUGGUUCAUUCAAAUUUCUUCCCUAUCAACUUUCGAUGUUUGGGUAGUGGCCAAACAUGGUUGCAACGGGUAACGGAGGGUUAGGGCUCGACCCCGGAGAAGGAGCCUGAGAAACGGCUACUACAUCCAAGGAAGGCAGCAGGCGCGCAAAUUACCCAAUCCCGACACGGGGAGGUAGUGACAAUAAAUACUGAUACAGGGCUCUUUUGGGUCUUGUAAUUGGAAUGAGUACAAUUUAAAUCCCUUAACGAGGAACAAUUGGAGGGCAAGUCUGGUGAACGUUGCUGGUGCCAGAGAUAGCCACCCUCGCUAAACAACCGGCUAGUCGAGCGCUCGUCGAGUGACGGGGGAGCGCCGGCGAGACAACCUGGAUCGGGGAAGGCUAAGGGCCGAAGGGCCUAUGCUGAUCCCGAGCAGAGCCGCCCGCGGGUGGCCUGUGUAGAGCGCGCAAAGGUGUCGGUCCUACGAUCAGUAGGGCUUAAGGUACGUGCCAACCCCCCGCGAAAGCGGGGCCCCGCGGAGAAGCACCCGUCGUGCGAAGCCGCGUGGGGACCUCGGCAGGGACAUCCCCGAGUAGAGGUAGCAAACACAGCAGCGAGUCCGGCUCUUGGAACUCAAGCCCCGGUGGCGCCUUGAGUUCUUCGACGCCUGGCCUCGCCUGCCAGUGUUGCAAACAAUGGCCAGCAGCCGCGGUAAUUCCAGCUCCAAUAGCGUAUAUUAAAGUUGUUGUGGUUAAAAAGCUCGUAGUUGAACCUUGGGCCUGGCUGGCCGGUCCGCCUCACCGCGUGUACUGGUCCGGCCGGGCCUUUCCCUCUGUGGAACCCCAUGCCCUUCACUGGGCGUGGCGGGGAAACAGGACUUUUACUUUGAAAAAAUUAGAGUGCUCCAGGCAGGCCUAUGCUCGAAUACAUUAGCAUGGAAUAAUGAAAUAGGACGCGCGGUUCUAUUUUGUUGGUUUCUAGGACCGCCGUAAUGAUUAAUAGGGACAGUCGGGGGCAUCAGUAUUCAAUAGUCAGAGGUGAAAUUCUUGGAUCUAUUGAAGACUAACUACUGCGAAAGCAUUUGUCAAGGAUGUUUUCAUUAAUCAGGAACGAAAGUUAGGGGAUCGAAGACGAUCAGAUACCGUCGUAGUCUUAACCAUAAACUAUGCCGACUAGGGAUCGGACGAUGUUAUUUUUUGACUCGUUCGGCACCUUACGAGAAAUCAAAGUGCUUGGGCUCCAGGGGGAGUAUGGUCGCAAGGCUGAAACUUAAAGAAAUUGACGGAAGGGCACCACCAGGGGUGGAGCCUGCGGCUUAAUUUGACUCAACACGGGGAAACUCACCAGGUCCAGACACAAUGAGGAUUGACAGAUUGAGAGCUCUUUCUUGAUUUUGUGGGUGGUGGUGCAUGGCCGUUCUUAGUUGGUGGAGUGAUUUGUCUGCUUAAUUGCGAUAACGAACGAGACCUUAACCUGCUAAAUAGCCCGCAUUGCUUUGGCAGUGCGCCGGCUUCUUAGAGGGACUAUCGGCUCAAGCCGAUGGAAGUUUGAGGCAAUAACAGGUCUGUGAUGCCCUUAGAUGUUCUGGGCCGCACGCGCGCUACACUGACGGAGCCAGCGAGUACUCCCUUGGCCGGAAGGCCCGGGUAAUCUUGUUAAACUCCGUCGUGCUGGGGAUAGAGCAUUGCAAUUAUUGCUCUUCAACGAGGAAUCCCUAGUAAGCGCAAGUCAUCAGCUUGCGUUGACUACGUCCCUGCCCUUUGUACACACCGCCCGUCGCUACUACCGAUUGAAUGGCUCAGUGAGGCGUCCGGACUGGCCCAGAGAGGUGGGCAACUACCACUCAGGGCCGGAAAGCUCUCCAAACUCGGUCAUUUAGAGGAAGUAAAAGUCGUAACAAGGUCUCCGUU